rnacentral:rRNA from 1 species
AUUGAACGCUGGCGGCAGGCCUAACACAUGCAAGUCGAGCGGAGCGGCGGACGGGUGAGUAAUGCCUAGGAAUCUGCCUGGUAGUGGGGGACACAGUCCGGAAACGGGCGCUAAUACCGCAUACUAUCAGAUGAGCCUAGGUCGGAUUAGCUAGUUGGUGGGGUAACGGCUCACCAAGGCGACGAUCCAUAGCUGGUCUGAGAGGAUGACCGGCCACACUGGAACUGAGAAACGGUCCAGACUCCUACGGGAGGCAGCAGUGGGGAAUAUUGCACAAUGGGCGCAAGCCUGAUGCAGCAAUGCCGCGUGUAUGAAGAAGGCCUUCGGAUUGUAAAGCUCUGUCAGCGGAGAGGCGGUACCCGCAGAGGAAGCACCGGCUAACUCCGUGCCAGCAGCCGCGGUAAUUC